rnacentral:ncRNA from 2 species
AGUGUGACAGCGGGGAGUCUGCCGGAGCAGGCUGAGAACAGGCUGAGCCGCCUGGACCCAUAACCUGAUUUGGAUCAUGCCAACGUAGGGAUAUGUAUGCACACCGUCG